rnacentral:tRNA from 1 species
GACCUAGAUAGUAGUUAGAUUGCAAAUCUUAGCUUAGAAAUAUAAGUUUUCAUAGGUCUA